AUUGAACGCUGGCGGCAGGCCUAACACAUGCAAGUCGAGCGGUAACAGGAAGAAGCUUGCUUCUUUGCUGACGAGUGGCGGACGGGUGAGUAAUGUCUGGGAAACUGCCUGAUGGAGGGGGAUAACUACUGGAAACGGUAGCUAAUACCGCAUAACGUCGCAAGACCAAAGAGGGGGACCUUCGGGCCUCUUGCCAUCGGAUGUGCCCAGAUGGGAUUAGCUAGUAGGUGGGGUAACGGCUCACCUAGGCGACGAUCCCUAGCUGGUCUGAGAGGAUGACCAGCCACACUGGAACUGAGACACGGUCCAGACUCCUACGGGAGGCAGCAGUGGGGAAUAUUGCACAAUGGGCGCAAGCCUGAUGCAGCCAUGCCGCGUGUAUGAAGAAGGCCUUCGGGUUGUAAAGUACUUUCAGCGGGGAGGAAGGGAGUAAAGUUAAUACCCUUGCUCAUUGACGUUACCCGCAGAAGAAGCACCGGCUAACUCCGUG
rnacentral:rRNA from 1 species